AGCCGCGCGCCGCGGCACGGAACACUCCGGGACAGGUUCCCAACGCGAUAGCGCGCCGCCGGCCGUCCGCAGUACCGUCGUACGGUUUGCACAAGAACCAUCCGUUCUCAUCGUUCCUCCAUCGGAUCAUGACACACGGCUCACCUGUCGUCGCACCGUCGUGAAGUCCGCGCGUCCGCGAGUCCUUCCUUCGACUCGCGAUCGAUCUCGCGUCCAAACGUCUCCGACGACGCGCCCGACGACGUCUCCGUCGGUCGAUCUCGACGUCUUCCUCGCUUCCUCUCUUCGAUCGAUCACGAUCCCGCGCCGAGCCGUCUCCCGGAACUCGCGCGAACAGUGAAACGAUCGAUCGGGCCGAUCGAUCGCAGGUGAUGAACGGAACGGAUGUAAUCGAACUCGAAACGAUGAUGCCCGGCUCGGUGAUGAUCGCGGAAGUCGAUCGAAACGUGACGGCUCUCGAUGACGAUCCUUCUAAGGAUGGACGCGAACGCGACGAGGCGCGAUAGGGACGAGGGUGCGAACGGUUGCGACGUUGGUUCCACUUCCGGCGAUAACGUAGACGCCUCUUAGGACGCGGCUCGGCGAUUGAGAAUCGAUACACGCGCUGCGGUAGAAUUAUGUGACGAUCGUGCUUUUUCCCUCACGCUACUCACGGAAUUUCGAGCAUCCCUCGAAUGAGGGAACGAGCCUCUUCUCGCGCGAAAGGUCUCGAAAAGAGAUUUUAGACAAUUGUCAGGAGACAACGAGAGCUUCAAAACUUCGGAAAGACCGAGGGAGAGAUACGACUGACCUAUACUGACUGACAAUACUGAGAAUACAGGAAAGUUCAGCGAUCAUAUAACUUCACUUCGUCGAAUGUGCUCUCGCAAAGACAAUUCCGUGAGUGAGAGGCAAACGGUGGAACUCAAACGUGAUUUAUUUUUCGUUGCGAGAGUAAAAAUAUCGAUGGAAGAGACUAUGUUGCGUGUCGCCUGGUGCUUCAUUUGAUACAAAAUAUCAGCGGCGAUGGUAACGAUAUAGUUUAAACAAUCCUAGAGACAACAGCAAAUAACGGCGGCGUUAAUAAAUAACGCGUUCGCGAGUGACGUCUGUAUAUAAAUAAUAAACAAUAAACACCGACGUAAAACUGAGUAAUAUCUGGUGAUCCUGUGGAUUAAUCGCUGCCGAAUAUCAGCUGUUAAAUUAACCGUGGACAAGGGAUUUCAUCGCCUCCGAGCGAUGUGUUUGUGCGCCUGUGAGCAUGUGCGGUUCACUUUAUACACGACGGAACGUUUGCAAUAAGAUUGGACGAGUCAACGCCGGGGUUAAGCAUCGCUAAUUAUCUUAGAGCUGCCGUAUAAUUGUCGCUAAUUAAUCAGCGCGACUCUUCACGCUUCUCGCCUCCGCCCUCGUUGGAUUCGAGCUGCGAGUUUCACGCUCUCCGCCGUCGCGAGUUUCAUACAUGGAAACAAUGAAGUGGCUUUGGAUAAUCGUCUUAGUAGCUCUGGCCUUGCCAGCUGCAGUACCACGAAAAAUCCACAGAAGCAAGCCCACGCCACGAUUGUACGGCGACAGAGUCCCUGUCAAUUUAAUAAGGACCACCAACAGCAAGGUGCGGCAAAAAAUCAUAGACACCCACAACUACUUUCGCACGCAGGUCAAGCCAUCUGCUGCCAACAUGCUCGUUAUGAAAUGGCAUUCGGGCUUAGCGAAGGCAGCACAAAGGUGGGCCGAUCGUUGUCUCGGUUUGGUGCACGACAAUGCAACCGGUCUGUACCUAGACGGUUUCGGCCAGAGUGGACAAAACAUAUUCAUCAGUACGGGUCGUACACUCUGGAACUUCCCCAUCAGGAUGUGGUACAUGGAGUACAAGGACUUCAAGUACGGGCCCAAUACAACGAAUGAGAUCCUCGAGAUCGGCCAUUACACGCAGGUGGUGUGGGCGACGACGCAUCUGGUCGGGUGUGGGGUGAGCCAUUGCACCGGCGGCAAGGGUCCGCUCGGCAAGGAUUUCUACAUGUACGUUUGCAACUACGCUCCGAGCGGUAACUACAAGGGCCGCCUGGGCCUACCCUACGUGGCUGGGAAACCGUGUAGCAUGUGCAAGGAUCACUGCACGCGGGGCUCGCUUUGCACGAACGCCUGCUAUCAUACCGAUCUGUGGUCGAAUUGCGCCGAGUUGGUCAGGACAUUCGACUCGUGGGUCUGCGAGACCGACACCAAGGAGGGCCGUGAACGCCGGAAGUUCUGCGGCGCCACGUGCAACUGCAAGGACAAGAUCUACUACCGUCACGAAGGGUAGGAGGGCUACCUUGGCUUUCGCGUUUGGGUCCACCGUGUUGCAUGAAUAAUUUAAUCGCCCUGCAAAACUAAACUCAGACCUGUGAUGAGCUCGAGCUGGAACGCUCGCCACGUUUCGAGCCAGGGGCCCUUGUUGUUGAGAGAGGACGGAUAGCGGGUAAACGGGAUAAUAUGGAAAUAUGGUAGAUGAAGUGAUUGUGGAAUUUGUGUGCUCUCCGCACAAUCGCCGGGGCCUAGAUUUUCCCGAUACCUGAGGAUUCACAGGUCUACAGUCUCAGAAGAUCAAUAGAUUCUAUGCCGUGGCGAUCUAAUGAUUCCAAACUGCAUAUGAUCUCUUGAUUUCAGGUCAUAAAGACCCCGAAGUACCUUUUCUUGUUGUAGCGCGAUCCUCGAAUUCUAGGAACUCUGAAAUUUAUAGUCCUCGAAUGCCCAGGACCCUUUGAAACUUUUAUGAAUUUACUUUUAUGAACCGGUGUAAAAGUCGCGUGUAUCUUUUAUGAUUUGAACAAACCCACGUUUCCCGCAGAAUUUUACGCGAAAUUAUGAAACCACUGGCUAAAGAUAUUAACCGUUUAUAAUUUUUAAAUGUGACAAAACAUCGCUUAAAUUAACAUUUAAUUUGUUUGCGUACUCGC
rnacentral:misc_RNA from 1 species